rnacentral:rRNA from 1 species
AACGAACGCUGGCGGCAUGCCUAACACAUGCAAGUCGAACGCGAAAGUCCUUCGGGAUGAGUAAAGUGGCGCACGGGUGAGUAAUACAUGGGAACAUGCCCUUGGAUGGGGAAUAACGUUUGGAAACGAACGCUAAUACCGCAUAAUCUCGCGAGAGUAAAGGUGGCGCCGCAAGGGCUACCGUCCAAGGAUUGGCCCAUGUCCCAUUAGCUAGUUGGCGGGGUAAUGGCCCACCAAGGCAACGAUGGGUAACUGGUCUGAGAGGAUGAUCUGUCACACUGGAACUGAGACACGGUCCAGACUCCUACGGGAGGCAGCAGUAGGGAAUAUUGCACAAUGGGGGAAACCCUGAUGCAGCAACGCCGCGUGAGUGAAGAAGGCCCUUGGGUUGUAAAGCCCUUUAGCGUGGGAAGAAGGUAGAUAUGGUGAAUAAUCAUGUUUGCUGACGGUACCACGAGAAUAAGCACCGGCUAAUUUCGUGCCAGCCGCCGCGGUAAAAC